GAAUGUUACUUUGGCUCCUUGGUUGGCUCGAAUGUGUACAUAACUCCCGCAGGAUCUCAGGGCCUGCCGCCCCAUUAUGAUGAUGUCGAGGUUUUCAUCCUGCAGCUGGAGGGAGAGAAACACUGGCGCCUCUACCACCCCACUGUGCCCCUGGCACGAGAGUACAGCGUGGAGGCCGAGGAAAGGAUCGGCAGGCCGGUGCAUGAGUUUAUGCUGAAGCCGGGUGAUUUGUUGUACUUUCCCAGAGGAACCAUUCAUCAAGCGGACACUCCUGCGGGGCUGGCCCACUCUACUCACGUGACCAUCAGCACCUACCAGAACAAGUAAACACUGCCUCCCAGCUGCACAUGCUAGGACAGCUCUGAGUCCUGGCCUGCAGCAGCCACAUUCAGGAGGGAUAUGAGGGAGUUGGCCCCUACCUCCUAUGCAAACCCCAGGGUUUAUGUCCUUUACUGACUUCCACAUUCCUUUGAUGUCCCAUGUAUGUGACUGGUCCCUCUGGACUUGCUUCUGGGGACAUCAUGAACCUGACUCUGUAGGAUGUGGGGCAUUGCCCAAAUAGAGAGUCACAUAGUUUGGAAAGAAAGAGACUAGCUGUGGGUACAUCAGUGUGUUAGUGAUGCCAGGCUGGGCUCAUACUCUCUCUCUUUUUUUUUAAUAUGAUAAAAUAUAUAGAACAUAAAAUAUACCAUUUUAAACCAUUUUAAA
rnacentral:lncRNA from 10 species